UGGUGUGUCCUAAUCCCUGCUGCUUAGCCUGUAGCCUACAAGAUUUUGCUUGUGGACCAGGAGACCUAGAAGCUUCACCUGAAUGAGUGAGCAAGGUGUAAGUGGGGUUAUGCCAUAGAUGCCUCUAGAUAGCU
rnacentral:snoRNA from 1 species